UGUCACUCUGGAUGUCAAGUUUCACUAAAGCAGAUGCAUACUAAGUGUAAAAGAUAAAGAAAAGCUCUCGCUUGGUUACCAUUCAUAGAAUCUAUUUUGUAAAAACUCACAAAUCAUAAAUUCAUCAUCUGUUUUGCAGACAAUGGGGCAUUAUGAUCAUCCUAAAAAACUCACAAACAAGUAAACAUCUUUAAUUGGUCG
rnacentral:lncRNA from 1 species